UGUUUAUCAAAAACAUGUCUUAUAGAUUUUAAUUUUAGGUUUGACCUGCUCAAUGAUUAAAAUUAAAUAGCCGCAGUAUAUUGACUGUGCAAAGGUAGCAUAAUCAUUUGUCUAUUAAUUGUAGGCCUGUAUGAAAGGUUGGACGAAGAAUAAACUUUCUUUAUUUAAUUUUUAUGAAUUUAAUUACUUAGUUAAAAAGCUGAGAUUUUUUUGUGGGACGAGAAGACCCUAUAGAAUUUUAUUUUAUAAUAAAUAUUAUAAUUUGUUUUUAUUUAUGUUAUUUGUUAUGGAAUUUGGUUGGGGUGAUUAUGAAAUUUAAUAAACUUUUAUUUUUAAUUUAUCAUUAAUUAUUGUUUUAAUGAUCCUUUCUUAUGGAUAAUAAGAUUAAAUUACCUUAGGGAUAACAGCGUAAUUUUUUUGGAGAGUUCAUAUUGAUGAAAAAGUUUGCGACCUCGAUGUUGGAUUAAAGUAAUAUUUUGGUGUAGAAGCUUAAAUGUUAGGUCUGUUCGACCUUUAAAUCUUUACAUGAUCUGAGUUCAAACCGGAGA
rnacentral:rRNA from 1 species